GCGGGUUCCGGCACCCGGACCCACACUCGGUCGGGAUGCUCUGCUGAGUAACACUGCCGUGGCAUUCCAGGAGCUGUGGUCCAGCCUGUGCGGCGGGAAGCGGCGGCGGCGGCCCCAGGGUCCUAAGAGAAGCUGAAACCUAUCAACACUCUUCAAAAUGCAAUGGAAUGUACCACGGACUGUAUCUCGACUGGCACGCAGGACAUGCUUGGAACCACAUAAUGCUGGUCUUUUUGGACGCUGUCAAAAUGUAAAGGGACCUUUACUUUUGUACAAUGCUGAUUCCAAAGUGGCUUUGGUACAAGGCCUUCAAAAACAAUGGUUGAAUUUAUCUGCUGCCCAGUGCGUUGCAAAGGAAAGGAGGCCGUUGGAUGCUCAUUCACCCCAACCAGGAGUCCUUCACCAUAAGCAAGGGAAGCAACAUGUUUCAUUCAAGAGGGUUUUUUCAUCCAGUGCCACAGCUCAGGGAACUCCAGAAAAAAAGGAAGAGCCUGAUCCUUUGCAAGACAAAUCUAUUAGUCUUUAUCAACGAUUCAAGAAGACAUUUAGACAGUAUGGAAAAGUUCUGAUUCCAGUGCAUCUAAUAACUUCUGGUGUUUGGUUUGGAACAUUUUAUUAUGCGGCCUUGAAAGGAGUGAAUGUUGUUCCUUUUCUAGAACUCAUUGGAUUACCUGACAGUGUGGUAAGCAUCCUGAAAAACUCCCAGAGUGGAAAUGCACUCACAGCAUAUGCCUUGUUUAAGAUUGCAACACCUGCUCGGUACACCGUGACUUUGGAAGGAACAUCCUUCACUGUGAAGUAUCUGCACAGUCAUGGCUACAUGUCCUCGCCACCACCCAUCAAGGAAUAUCUACAGGACAGGAUGGAGGAGACAAAGGAGCUUAUCACAGAGAAGAUGGAAGAAACAAAAGACAGACUCACUGAAAAGUUACAAGAAACCAAAGAAAAGGUUUCCUUUAAGAAAAAAGUGGAAUAAGGUGCCUUACAGCAGUAUAGAAAUAUAGCAGUAUAGAAAAUUCCUGCACUUUAACCCUUUGGAAACUAUGGGCAAAGAUACGUGUGUCUGAUUUUUUUUUUUUUUUUUUUUUUGGUUAGUUGUCUAAAUAUACAAAUUCUCUGAGGGUUAAAGAAGUAAAAUACCUUUUUAAAGUUAAAUAUCACUAGAAAAAUCAGUGUUAUUACAAGGAAAGAAACGAACCCAGUAUAAGAAUGUCCCAUCAGUAGCAGUAUUAAGCAGUGGUGAAUGUCUUAGAAGUCAUACUUCUUUUUCAAGGUCUUCAGAACCACACUUGAUUUCUGUUGCAGCUGUAAUUGACGCACACUAUAGGCAGUUGACUCCUUGAGUAACCAGUGUGACCCAUAAAAUAGGCUAAUACUGGAUCUUAAUUUUUAUGUUAUUCAUUAAGGUUUUAACUAUAUUCAGUAUGUAAUUUGGAGACAAACUAGCAUCAUCAAAACUGCCUGUGAAUAAGAAGGUAUUUAGUCUUUCUAUAAAAACAGAAUAAAGCAGUUACCUACCAGUUAAAAUAUCUUAUAUGAAGAAAAUAGAAUAAAGAUUCAGUCAUAUAUAUGUAAAUACGAUGUAUUGAUUGUAUGUAAAUGAAAAAUGGACCCUUUA